AACGAACGCUGGCGGCAUGCCUAACACAUGCAAGUCGAACGAGACCUUCGGGUCUAGUGGCGCACGGGUGCGUAACGCGUGGGAACCUGCCCUUAGGUUCGGAAUAACUCCCCGAAAGGGGUGCUAAUACCGGAUAAUGUCUUCGGACCAAAGAUUUAUCGCCUUUGGAUGGGCCCGCGUUUGAUUAGCUAGUUGGUAUGGUAAAAGCCUACCAAGGCGACGAUCCAUAGCUGGUCUGAGAGGAUGAUCAGCCACACUGGGACUGAGACACGGCCCAGACUCCUACGGGAGGAAGCAGUGGGGAAUAUUGGACAAUGGGCGAAAGCCUGAUCCAGCAAUGCCGGGUGAGUGAUGAAGGCCUUAGGGUUGUAAAGCUCUUUUACCCGGGAUGAUAAUGACAGUACCGGGAGAAUAAGCUCCGGCUAACUCCGUG
rnacentral:rRNA from 1 species